rnacentral:rRNA from 1 species
AUACGGAGGGGGCAAGCGUUGUCCGGAAUUACUGGGCGUAAAGAGUACGUAGGCGGAUCGUUAAGUUAGAGGUGAAAUCCCAGGGCUCAACCCUGGAACUGCCUUUAAUACUGGCGAUCUAGAGAUCGAGAGAGGUGAGUGGAAUUUCCAGUGUAGAGGUGAAAUUCGUAGAUAUUGGAAAGAACACCAGUGGCGAAGGCGGCUCACUGGCUCGAUACUGACGCUGAGGUACGAAAGCGUGGGGAGCAAACAGGAUUAGAAACCCUAGUAGUCC